CGAACUGUGAGAUCAUGACCUGAGCCGAAGUCGGACGCUUAACCGACUGACCCCCCCCCCCCCCCCAGGCACCCCUGUACUUUUCAUUUAAAGGGCAUUUUCAUGGAGUUGCGGAUUCUAGGUUGGAAGCUGCGGUCUUCCCGCCCCCCUGCAGCCCUCCCACUUUCCCGUCCGCAUCCGGAAUUCUUCUUGAAGCCUUACUACUGCCCCUUUUAAGGGCUCCGAGUUACGAGUUUGUCGCUGCUGAAAUCCUGCAACCAGAACUUCGUUUACAAACUCACCAGGUCCUGCGUAGCCGACGUUUCCGAGGACAUGCGGUGUCCCACGCCACACCGAAGCUCUGAUUACUUCCUCUUACGUUCCUCGUACCUUUUUCUGGAAUAAACCAAAGGCACACCGAAUGGAUUCUGCCGUACUUGCUACUGGCGUUUCUUUAACACCCACGGCUCUUUCCUCCUCCUCUGCUCGUGCCUGGGCAUUACUUACCGCUGCUGGUGAUGGUGCUGGGCCUGAGGAGGUUUCUAGACUUUGCUACAAACCAUGUGAACCUGACAAAGUAUGCACACGAUAUACAAACAAUUCUGUUAUUUAUUUAUUUUGAAUAAAAAAGUGGCCAAGAUAAUACUGCGGCUCUGCAUACAAAACACCACAUGUUCGAGGUCGUUCCACAUUUACAAAACUGCCGUUAUGUACAGCACCGGAUAUUCACAGCAACUUUACUAGAAGCAUACGAGCAACUGAGGGGCGUCCAAAGUGGGAAAAAGCUAAAAACCAACCACCUUUCAUUAACUGGAAAACCGGCCAACCAGCUGACCGGUAAAGGAAACGAGUACCUGUUAGGUUUUCCUUCUUCAGCAGUGACUGAAGAAAGACCGCCCCGCAGGGCUGUAUGCCGACAACACACCCUCCACAACCUCCUCUUUGUUUUUUCUCCGCUCUUCUCCACUUCAAACUUCUCCCAGCAACCUUUGCCCUCGUAUUAAAUAAAGGCUCAGGACACCGGGAUAUGAGCUUCAGGAAAAGGCGGUGAACGAGUGCUGAUGAUGUGGCGUGGCCUGGUUCAACCCAGGAAGCCCAGUUCGAACCCAAGCGGGACUCUGGCCCUCUUCGGGUCGGCAGUCUUUGCAGUUCUGAACGCGCUGGGAAAAGGGAACCAUGCUCCGUCUUGAAGGUGGCAGGAAGUGACUCAUUCUACGCAUCAGGAGCACCUACUCCGUGCAAGGCACUUGACAUUAGGUGCUGCAGGAACUACCAAGAUGAAGCAGACAGUCCCUGCCCUUGAGGAGCUUACAAUCUAAUCAUGAACACUAUGUACAUAUAUACAGUGCAGAGAAGCAACCAAUUUUUCUGGAUGCGGGGUAUUCCAGGCCAGAGGUGUUCCUGUUCUUAAAGUUUCCUUUAAAUGCCAAAAGUCGAAACCACCCCACCCAACCAGAUGGUAAGCACUGAGAAACUCUCUCUCUCUAACCUUAAGAUUUUAGAUGCCUGUUCUUUUCAUUAAAAAAAAAAAAAAAAAAAAAAAAGUCCUAUGUGAACAUACAUAUAAUUCGAAGCUGAGCACGAAGAUUAGCACAGGCAUUGGGUAAACAUAAACUAUGUAUCACUAUACACAACACACUAAUUUUUCUAUGCGGUCUUGUUUCUGUAUAAACAGGUUUGAUAUUCAUGUUCCUUUCGUAAAGUACAAAUCUGAGUCAAAGUCCUGAAGAAGCCAUAAUAGCCCAUUUUUGCUUUUAAUUUUGCAUUAGCACCCAGACCAAAGCGCGCGACACCCCAGCAGUCUGGUCGCCAAACGUAAAACCGAUAAAGCACGAAAGCAUCUCGUAGCCAUUUUGCCACCUCUUCCGGGGUCCAGCCUGAUCACCUUACGGGAUCUUUCUGCGAGAGUAACGGGAUGUCGUGAUGGCGAGGGAAGCAGAUUUUUACCAUGGAAACGAACAAGAUUUAGAGUGCCGAACUUUAAAUGAACCUCCCCGGCCCAGUGACGGCAGCUCACCUGGACGGGCUCCGCCUGUACCGCGUCGGGAGGCGGGCAUCAUCUUGUCUUCUUUUCAGCUCCCGCCCGGCCUGGAACGAAUGGCACCGCCGUGUUGGCCAUCUGAACAAUCCUGCCCUGAAUAAACUCAUUCACCGACUGGGACCUCAGGCUGUAUAUUAAGACCCGCCCCACCCCGAGUAUAAUUAUAACUCAAAAAAAAAGCAAGGGAAGAAAAGCUGAGUCACCUAAUCAGAUAAAGACACUGGGGGAGAAGCAGUCCUAUUCUAAAAGGAGUAACUUCUUUAUAGGAUAGUUUUUUUAACAGCCAUUCGCCCCUUAAAUUGAUUGGUUGAAACACAGCAAGUUUUCAGAAGCAGCCCUGCUCUACCACGGAGUACAUUUGCAGAGGGAGGCCGCAGCCUGCCUACCAGACUCAGCCUGGCUAGAAGGCUUGGUGCUGACCUACAGCAGCACCUGGGAAACGAGUGCCCAGUCUUCUGAAAAACCCCACUGUUUCAUCAGGACAGUGACGCUAUAGUAUUUCAGACCAUUAGAAACAACUCUGUAUUUUGCAAAUUUGACUUAAUUCCACUUAAGGACAGUCAGAUUUCACAUGCUCUGUAAUCACUUACAAAGUUUUUUUAACGUUUUUUAUUUUGAGAGAGAGAGAGGAAGAGACAGAGAGCGGGGAAGGGAAAGAGCGGGAGACAGAAUCCCAAGCAGGCUCUGCACUGCCGGUACGGGGCCCGAUGUGGGGCUCAAUCCUAUGAACCAUCAGAUCAUGGCCUGAGCGGAAAUCAGAGAGCUGGACACUAAACCGACUGAGCCACCCAGGCGCCCCUGGGAUCACUUUAAAUAGCAGGUAUCAUCUUAGCAAAUGUGAAGAUCAUAACUCCACAAACCUUUCUUAGCCUCAAGAAAGAGCAGUUCGAAGUUUAAUAACUAUCAGACCUGAGACACACACCUACUCCGCUUGAAGCUGUGCAUGCUUCCACUAACGACUAACACGAAAACAAGUCACCGCAGUUAGAUCUUUUAGAGGCACCCGUAAAACCGACAACCUUGAGGGACAAGGUUAGAUUCUUGAGACACGCUGGAGCCUCACCGAACUGUGCAACUCCACGGACACACAGAAAGGGAGCGUGUGAGCAGAAAGGUGUGUUCGUGAUUGAUCACGGGAGCCACGCGGACGCCCUCAAGGAUCCACGGGGGGCUAACAUUAAGACAUUCAUUCAUUUUUCUGCCUAUUGGCUGUUUUCACCGCCCAAUCUCUUUAAAAAAAAAACAAAAAACAAAAACAAAACCAAAAAAGGGCAGAAUAUACCUUUCCC